rnacentral:sRNA from 1 species
ACUUUGUACGAAAACACUGCCUGGUCUGCCAGGAAGCCUGGAGUUCAAGGUGUCCGGUGGGCCAGAGGCUCAGAGCUGGCAGGCCCUGAGGGUCUCUGCUCCUCCACCUCAGUGAUGAAUACUGAAACAGGAGAGGCCCAGGACACACACGGCUCCCAGCCGAGUCCAAGAUCCACAGCUCCAGUGCCCCCCCCCGUGCCCGGGCACUGCCCUGGGUGCCUGGCGACUGAGCCAGACCUUGUCCAAGGGCACCUGGGCCUUCCCCCAGGGACGCACACACUCAACGCCCUGCAUUCAGGGCCCAGCCAGGGUGGGGAGGGCCCCAGCGUGGGAGGGGCAGCCGUGUGGCCCAUCCUGUGUGAGUGGGAGGGGCAGCUGCGUGGCCCAUCCUGUGUGACGCCGGCCCCUGUUUCAGACGUGCCUCGGGAGUUCCUGCCAAGGACCCUCACCGGCUACAUGCCCGAGGACAUCUGGAGGAAGGCUGAAGAGGCCGUGAAUGAGGUGAAGCGGCAGGCAAUGUCAGAGCUGCAGAAAGCCGUAUCAGACGCAGAGCGCAAAGCGCACGAGCUCAUCACCACGGAGCGUGCCAAGAUGGAGCGGGCCCUGGCCGAGGCGAAGCGGCAGGCCUCCGAGGAUGCCCUGACGGUCAUCAACCAGCAGGAGGACUCCAGCGAGAGCUGCUGGAACUGCGGGCGGAAAGCCAGUGAGACGUGCAGUGGCUGCAACGCGGCGCGCUACUGCGGGUCCUUCUGCCAGCAUCGGGACUGGGAGAAGCACCAUCACGUGUGUGGCCAGAGCCUGCAGGGCCCUGCGGCUGUGGUGGCUGACCCGUUGCCUGGACCGCCUGAAGCCGCCCACGGCCUGGGCCCCUCCCUGCCUGUCGGUGCUGCCAGCCCCAGCGAAGCCGGCUCUGCGGGGCCUUCUCGCCCCGGCUCCCCCAGCCCACCUGGCCCACUGGACACCGUGCCUCGCUGACCCCACUGGCCCCCAGCCUGCUGGACACAGCACCGUGCCAACCCCACCCAGCUCCAGGCCCGCGAGACGCCGUGCCUGGCCUCCGAGGCCCGGCCUGCCAGACACUGCGCCCCACCUGACCUGGGGGAGCCGACCAAUUAGAGUCACUGCUGCUACUGCCCCUCUCCAAAAGAAGACACAGAACCAACAAAACCGCAUUCAAUGCACCUGCCUCAGCUACCUAAUGAUUCUGCGCAGAGACCUCCUGACAACCUCUCUUCAAGCAUCCUCAGAAGCCUCGACUGAGCUUUAGACAGCAGAGCAGAUGCCACAGGCGCGGUGGCUCUGCCCACCUCUCUCUCUUUCUUUUCCUCUCUCUGUCUCUCCCCUUCUGUCUUCUCCAUCCUCUCUCUCUCUCUCUCUAUGACUAUCACACACUUUUUCUUCAAUGAAAAAAUCAAAUUGGUGGCUUAUAUUUUCAGCAAAGAAUUUUGGGGGGUUUUGUUUGUUGGCAAAAGAGCUACUCAGAAAUGGACAAAGAAAACUGGGGGGGGGGUUCUCCCCCUCCUGAUUAAAAAGGGAGAAAGAAAACUGCGAUUUUAUAGCUGGAGAUCUGAACCCAGCUGUGCCCCUCCCCCAGGGGCGUGAGGCUGAUCAGCGAAGACUCAAUUUCUGACUCAAGAAGCAUUUUUGGUUUCAAAUUUUUUUUUUCCUGUCAUGUUAAACUCUUUGGCUUUAAGUAAAAAUCCAAAAAGUUUUUUUUAAAAAAGCAAAGGAAGCAUACUUGUGAACUACCUUGCUAGCUAGCCAGCCAAGGAUACCGGACACACCUCUGCUCCAAAGGAAAUCCAAAAAAGCAAACACAAGAAGUCAAAAUCCAAAAUUUGUUUGUCACUGCCAAAGUAUUUUUUUCACUGUUUUACUUGCUCUUGGGUUUGUUUGGUUGUGGGUCUUUUUCUCUUCUGUUUUGGUUUUGUUUGUGGGUGUCGGGAUAUUGGGGUGCAGAGGGUUUGUGCCCAGUGAGAAGCGACUUUUGUUCUCUUCGGCAUAGGCGUUGGUGCGUCUGCCGCAUGUGCGCGGUCCGUGUGCCGUUGCUCCGGCCUGCGUCUCCGUGUGUGUAGGAAAGGACACGCCGUCUGUCCUCACGCCCCCUGUGACUUUUCAUAUUUCCUUUUUCCACUUGUGGAAAAAAAGUGCUAAAGUUUUCUUCCCAGAGAGAGCAUAAUUCCGAAACAAAACUGUGACAAUCUUUUGGGUUGAUUCUCGACUGCUUUUCGAGCACGCGGAGCCAGCAGGGCUCCCUGAAACACUGCUUCUCGGCCAGCCCAUCCUCUACCUCUCUCCUCUCCGCACCCUCCGACCUCUCUCGGCCCCAUCGCCCCAACUCCGACCUCUCUCGGCCCCAUCGCCCCACCGCAGCUACUCCCCCUUCUUCCAAACUUUUGCAG